GAUUAAGUUAUUAAGGGCGCACGGUGGAUGCCUUGGCACUAGAAGCCGAUGAAGGACGUUACUAACGACGAUAUGCUUUGGGGAGCUGUAAGUAAGCUUUGAUCCAGAGAUUUCCGAAUGGGGAAACCCAGCAUGAGUUAUGUCAUGUUAUCGAUAUGUGAAUACAUAGCAUAUCAGAAGGCACACCCGGAGAACUGAAACAUCUUAGUACCCGGAGGAAGAGAAAGAAAAUUCGAUUCCCUUAGUAGCGGCGAGCGAAACGGGAAGAGCCCAAACCAACAAGCUUGCUUGUUGGGGUUGUAGGACACUCUGUACGGAGUUACAAAGGACGACAUUAGACGAAUCAUCUGGAAAGAUGAAUCAAAGAAGGUAAUAAUCCUGUAGUCGAAAAUGUUGUCUCUCUUGAGUGGAUCCUGAGUACGACGGAGCACGUGAAAUUCCGUCGGAAUCUGGGAGGACCAUCUCCUAAGGCUAAAUACUCUCUAGUGACCGAUAGUGAACCAGUACCGUGAGGGAAAGGUGAAAAGCACCCCGGAAGGGGAGUGAAAUAGAACCUGAAACCGUGUGCUUACAAGUAGUCAGAGCCCGUUAAUGGGUGAUGGCGUGCCUUUUGUAGAAUGAACCGGCGAGUUACGAUUUGAUGCAAGGUUAAGCAGUAAAUGUGGAGCCGUAGCGAAAGCGAGUCUGAAUAGGGCGUUUAGUAUUUGGUCGUAGACCCGAAACCAGGUGAUCUACCCUUGGUCAGGUUGAAGUUCAGGUAACACUGAAUGGAGGACCGAACCGACUUACGUUGAAAAGUGAGCGGAUGAACUGAGGGUAGCGGAGAAAUUCCAAUCGAACCUGGAGAUAGCUGGUUCUCUCCGAAAUAGCUUUAGGGCUAGCCUCAAGUGAUGAUUAUUGGAGGUAGAGCACUGUUUGGACGAGGGGCCCCUCUCGGGUUACCGAAUUCAGACAAACUCCGAAUGCCAAUUAAUUUAACUUGGGAGUCAGAACAUGGGUGAUAAGGUCCGUGUUCGAAAGGGAAACAGCCCAGACCACCAGCUAAGGUCCCAAAAUAUAUGUUAAGUGGAAAAGGAUGUGGCGUUGCCCAGACAACUAGGAUGUUGGCUUAGAAGCAGCCAUCAUUUAAAGAGUGCGUAAUAGCUCACUAGUCGAGUGACACUGCGCCGAAAAUGUACCGGGGCUAAACAUAUUACCGAAGCUGUGGAUUGUCCUUUGGACAAUGGUAGGAGAGCGUUCUAAGGGCGUUGAAGCAUGAUCGUAAGGACAUGUGGAGCGCUUAGAAGUGAGAAUGCCGGUGUGAGUAGCGAAAGACGGGUGAGAAUCCCGUCCACCGAUUGACUAAGGUUUCCAGAGGAAGGCUCGUCCGCUCUGGGUUAGUCGGGUCCUAAGCUGAGGCCGACAGGCGUAGGCGAUGGAUAACAGGUUGAUAUUCCUGUACCACCUAUAAUCGUUUUAAUCGAUGGGGGGACGCAGUAGGAUAGGCGAAGCGUGCGAUUGGAUUGCACGUCUAAGCAGUAAGGCUGAGUAUUAGGCAAAUCCGGUACUCGUUAAGGCUGAGCUGUGAUGGGGAGAAGACAUUGAGUCUUCGAGUCGUUGAUUUCACACUGCCGAGAAAAGCCUCUAGAUAGAAAAUAGGUGCCCGUACCGCAAACCGACACAGGUAGUCAAGAUGAGAAUUCUAAGGUGAGCGAGCGAACUCUCGUUAAGGAACUCGGCAAAAUGACCCCGUAACUUCGGGAGAAGGGGUGCUCUUUAGGGUUAACGCCCAGAAGAGCCGCAGUGAAUAGGCCCAAGCGACUGUUUAUCAAAAACACAGGUCUCUGCUAAACCGUAAGGUGAUGUAUAGGGGCUGACGCCUGCCCGGUGCUGGAAGGUUAAGAGGAGUGGUUAGCUUCUGCGAAGCUACGAAUCGAAGCCCCAGUAAACGGCGGCCGUAACUAUAACGGUCCUAAGGUAGCGAAAUUCCUUGUCGGGUAAGUUCCGACCCGCACGAAAGGCGUAACGAUUUGGGCACUGUCUCAACGAGAGACUCGGUGAAAUCAUAGUACCUGUGAAGAUGCAGGUUACCCGCGACAGGACGGAAAGACCCCGUGGAGCUUUACUGUAGCCUGAUAUUGAAAUUCGGCACAGCUUGUACAGGAUAGGUAGGAGCCUUUGAAACGUGAGCGCUAGCUUACGUGGAGGCGCUGGUGGGAUACUACCCUAGCUGUGUUGGCUUUCUAACCCGCACCACUUAUCGUGGUGGGAGACAGUGUCAAGCGGGCAGUUUGACUGGGGCGGUCGCCUCCUAAAAGGUAACGGAGGCGCUCAAAGGUUCCCUCAGAAUGGUUGGAAAUCAUUCAUAGAGUGUAAAGGCAUAAGGGAGCUUGACUGCGAGACCUACAAGUCGAGCAGGGUCGAAAGACGGACUUAGUGAUCCGGUGGUUCCGCAUGGAAGGGCCAUCGCUCAACGGAUAAAAGCUACCCCGGGGAUAACAGGCUUAUCUCCCCCAAGAGUUCACAUCGACGGGGAGGUUUGGCACCUCGAUGUCGGCUCAUCGCAUCCUGGGGCUGUAGUCGGUCCCAAGGGUUGGGCUGUUCGCCCAUUAAAGCGGUACGCGAGCUGGGUUCAGAACGUCGUGAGACAGUUCGGUCCCUAUCCGUCGUGGGCGUAGGAAAUUUGAGAGGAGCUGUCCUUAGUACGAGAGGACCGGGAUGGACAUACCUCUGGUGUACCAGUUGUCGUGCCAACGGCAUAGCUGGGUAGCUAUGUGUGGACGGGAUAAGUGCUGAAAGCAUCUAAGCAUGAAGCCCCCCUCAAGAUGAGAUUUCCCAACUUCGGUUAUAAGAUCCCUCAAAGAUGAUGAGGUUAAUAGGUUCGAGGUGGAAGCAUGGUGACAUGUGGAGCUGACGAAUACUAAUCGAUCGAAGACUUAAUCAA
rnacentral:rRNA from 2 species